GAUCAUGGCUCAGAUUGAACGCUGGCGGCAUGCCUUACACAUGCAAGUCGAACGGCAGCGACGGGGCAACCUGGUGGCGAGUGGCGAACGGGUGAGUAAUGCAUCGGAACGUGCCAUUGAGUGGGGGGUAACGUAGCGAAAGUUACGCUAAUACCGCAUAUUCUGUGAGCAGGAAAGCAGGGGAUCGCAAGACCUUGCGCUCUUUGAGCGGCCGAUGUCAGAUUAGCUAGUUGGUGAGGUAACGGCUUACCAAGGCGACGAUCUGUAGCGGGUCUGAGAGGAUGAUCCGCCACACUGGAACUGAGACACGGUCCAGACUCCUACGGGAGGCAGCAGUGGGGAAUUUUGGACAAUGGGGGCAACCCUGAUCCAGCCAUGCCGCGUGAGUGAAGAAGGCCUUCGGGUUGUAAAGCUCUUUCGGCCGGGAAGAAAUCGCAUGGGUUAAUACCCUGUGUGGAUGACGGUACCGGCAUAAGAAGCACCGGCUAACUACGUG
rnacentral:rRNA from 1 species